rnacentral:rRNA from 1 species
AUUGAACGCUGGCGGCAUGCUUUACACAUGCAAGUCGAACGGGCUUGGGGGCUUGCUCCCAAGUUAGUGGCGAACGGGUGAGUAAUACAUCGGAACGUACCGUGUAGUGGGGGAUAACGUAGCGAAAGUUACGCUAAUACCGCAUACGAUCUACGGAUGAAAGCAGGGGACCUUCGGGCCUUGUGCUAUACGAGCGGCCGAUGUCUGAUUAGCUAGUUGGUGAGGUAAAGGCUCACCAAGGCGACGAUCAGUAGCGGGUCUGAGAGGAUGAUCCGCCACACUGGGACUGAGACACGGCCCAGACUCCUACGGGAGGCAGCAGUGGGGAAUUUUGGACAAUGGGCGAAAGCCUGAUCCAGCCAUGCCGCGUGUCUGAAGAAGGCCUUCGGGUUGUAAAGGACUUUUGUCAGGGAGCAAAACUUACCGGUUAAUACCUGGUGAGGCUGAGAGUACCUGAAGAAUAAGCACCGGCUAACUACGUGCCAGCCGCCGCGGUAAAAC